GGCGACGACGGGUAGCCGGCCUGAGAGGGUGACCGGCCACACUGGGACUGAGACACGGCCCAGACUCCUACGGGAGGCAGCAGUGGGGAAUAUUGCACAAUGGGCGCAAGCCUGAUGCAGCAACGCCGCGUGAGGGACGACGGCCUUCGGGUUGUAAACCUCUUUUAGCAGGGAAGAAGCGAAAGUGACGGUACCUGCAGAAAAAGCACCGGCUAACUACGUGCCAGCAGCCGCGGUAAUACGUAGGGUGCAAGCGUUGUCCGGAAUUAUUGGGCGUAAAGAGCUCGUAGGCGGUCUGUCACGUCUGCUGUGAAAACCCGAGGCUCAACCUCGGGCUUGCAGUGGGUACGGGCAGACUAGAGUGCGGUAGGGGAGAUUGGAAUUCCUGGUGUAGCGGUGGAAUGCGCAGAUAUCAGGAGGAACACCGAUGGCGAAGGCAGAUCUCUGGGCCGUAACUGACGCUGAGGAGCGAAAGCAUGGGGAGCAAACAGGCUUAGAUACCCUGGUAGUCCAUGCCGUAAACGUUGGGAACUAGAUGUGGGGACCAUUCCACGGUCUCCGUGUCGUAGCUAACGCAUUAAGUUCCCCGCCUGGGGAGACGG
rnacentral:rRNA from 1 species